CCCCCCCCCCCACACACACACACACACACACAAACACUAGAAUUUUGAACAGAUAGUUUUGUAUUACUAUGUAUUAUUAUUAUUAUUAUUAUAACAACAAAGAUGAUAUAUUUCUCAAUUGCAGAAAUCCUUCAAUAGAAAAAAACACAAUCCUGAGGGCCAUUUUCAGAAGGGCCCCCAGAUCCUGAGGUUUUCUGAAGUGUUGAGGUUUACAAAAAAGCUGCUAUCUCGGCCUCUGUAGUCGAUAGAAACAAAAUUCAAAAAGUAUUUGAGAGCUUAUACAUGUGGCUUUCAAGAAAGCUCUCUUUUAGUUUUGCGAACCUUCAUCACAUUUUUGAAAACCUUGAACAAACAAACUCAAAUGAAAUAAAGCGGCUGUAUAAAUAAAAGUAAAGGCUCUGCACUGGAGAAUGACAAAUAAUUUGCUUUCUGUAAAACAAGUGGCAGUCAUGAUAAAGUGUCCAUUCAAUACAAAUGUAAAUAUAGAAAAUAAGGUGUUGAAAGGGUAAACAGCUGCCCCAGUAUAGUGCCAGUACAAAAGCAGAACUAAAAACUAAAAAAUGAAUAAAUAAAUACGUGGCUGACAGUGUGUUCACCUCUGUGCUCACCCAAAGUCAUGCAACACUGAGAGAAAACGCUGAUAGUGUGAGCCAAAUCACUCCCUAUGAAGAGGUUGUUCACACUGCUGGAUGUUUCUCCUCUGAAGCUGCUCUCUGCCUCAGUCAUUGUUUACUUCACUCAUGAAGCUCAUCAAGCACGUAGCAAGAUCCGAGCAUGAACCCGAGCGCUUUAUUCGCCUAUCAAAGGCAGACGGGUACGGUGAUUUCAUUCACCGCGACUCCAGAAAUGAUUAAAAAACUACAAAAUGACGUAUCCGCGCUCCCGCUGAUAUGCUGACAUGCGUACACAGAGCAGAGCUGUCACCUCGCGACUCUCUCCCCGCCUCGUCUCCUACAGUCUGUCAGCCUCUGUGCAGCACCUUCGGAGCAAGCAGGGGCGCCUGCAGCAGUGGGGGGUCGCCAAUUUGACAACAAGAGUUAAUAAAUAACCGCUUUGCAGUUAAGAUUUAUUAUUAUUAUCUUUUAUUUUAUUUUUUUGGAAGUGCUCGUGCCGCCCCCCAUGAGUCAUGACACAAAUGCCGCCCCGGGCGGCUGCCCUGUUCGCCCGUGCCUAGAACCGCUACUGCA